rnacentral:lncRNA from 1 species
UUUUUUCACCACCGGAUUAGAAGAAGAUAGGGGCAGCGAGCGUUAAAACCGGCGGUGAUAGUGCUUUUCACAGUCGGUUGUUGGCUGAAACCAGUGGUGAAAGUAUCACCGCCGGCUCUUCCUACCACCUGCCAGAGAUAAUAGGCACGGACCCAAAAAAUAAAUUCAAUCCACUUAACUCACAUUUUGAGUCCAUCCCCAGGCCGCACGCCUCCCUCUCCCUCACACUAGGCUUCUGUCCCUCCCUCUCUCAUGCUUCCCACCUCCCCUCCCUCACUCCGUCUCUCACACCUCCCACCACUUCCUCCCUCCCUCUGCCUCCUCGGAUUGGCACCACCUCCCUCUGCCUCCUCCCCGCGCCGCCUCCCUCUACCUCCCAUGCAUGCCGGAUCCCCUCCCUUCCAGAUUUGGCACGGCGGGCCCCCGGUGGCUUGGGUAGCGUGUGGCGUGGGCUUGGGGCUCUAGCAUGAGCGGCGCGAGGAGCGGUGGCCACGGGCUUCCGGCGAUGCGAGAAGCGGCGGUCGUCUCCUCCCCUUCCAUUUCCGACCUCCCCUUCUCUCCCUCCCCUCUCCUCUCCUCCACUCGCCCCUCACCUCAUGCCUAUGGCGAGGAGUGGUAGAGGCGGCCAUUGGAGCAAGGAGCGGCGGCGGCCAGGGAGCUCGGCGGUGGCAAGAUCC